GUAGGUGAACCUGCGGAAGGAUCAUUAACCUUACCAUCGGGGGCCGGCCUUGGAUGGCGAACCCGUCAGGGAACGUUAUCCUCCCCGCCCUGUCUGAAUAUACCCAUGAUUUUUGCGUACCUAUUGUUUCCUCGGCAGGCUUGCCUGUCAGCAGGACAUUUCAAACCCUUUGCAAUUGCAGUCAGCGUCAGAAAAACUUAAUAGUUACAACUUUCAACAACGGAUCUCUUGGUUCUG
rnacentral:misc_RNA from 1 species